GUUAACCCUAGUCCUCAGAAAUCCACCGCAGUUUAGAUUUCCAACACAAAGAAAGCGGGAGUUAAUGGACAUCAGCGAAAAUGUGUGCAUCCGGCGGAAUUUCCUGUGGCACCGGAGCAUUAAAGCAGAGAGUCAGGUUUCAACAGCGAGGAGCACCGCAGAGCGUUGUUAGACGGCUUGAUAAGAACAGAGAGAGCGGGGACAUUGAUGAGACACAAGAGAAGAGGAAGAAGAGAGAGACCGAGGCAGAUGAGGGAGUCGGAGAAGCGGCGGUGGAGAAGAAGGGAGGCUUUGCACAAAUGGGACACUGCGGGUUACGAACCUACCAUCUUGUACCCGAAGAGGCCAAACAAACACUCUGAGAAAAAGUGUGUUCUGCAAAUUUUGUGUACAAUAAGUUAUUUCCAAUUAAUUAUAUUUGAAUUUGGCAGUUGCGAAAAUGCAUUAAAACACGCUUAAAAUCCUUGAAAUAAGAUAUGAAAUGUCCUUUUUUUUAAAUUUGUAUCAGUUAUUUGGUAAGCAGAAUCGUUCAAUAUUUCAUAAUUAAUCAGAUUUUAUAUGAUUGCUUCCAUUCAUCUGUGUGUUACCAGAAUAUUUUAUGAAUCAAUCACAGAAUUUGCAUGAAAUUGGCUGUUUAUGCUCACAAAAGGAAGAAUCCUAUUGUUUUUCGGUGACCCUUUUACUUUUCCUGGAGUGUUUUUUUUAAAGGUUGGGAUGUGGAGCAGGGCAGUGCAGAUGGCCUGCAGCCCGACAUGCUCAUCUCUCUCACUGCUCCCAAGAAGUCUGUCUCCUUGUUCCGAGAACGAUACCACUUCCUGGGAGGCCGGUUAGAUUAUCUUAGAUUGGUUUAGAUUAGUUUAGCAUAAAGACUGGAAACGGGGAAACAGCUUGUCUGGCUCUGUCCAAAGUUGUAAGAUAUGCCUACUAGCACUUCUAAAGCUCACCAAUUAAAACUUACCUCGUUUGUUUCAUCCAUACACAAACUGAAAUGUAAAAAUGACAAGUUGUAGUUGUACAGGGAGUUAUGUGCUGUAACCAUUUCCACGUCUCAACUCCAGCUCUGUACCUAAACCACUGACAUGAGAGUGGUAUCAAUCUUCACAUCUAACCUUUGGAAAUAAAUCAAACAAGUACAGUAUGUUUCCAUAAAUGUGGAACUAUUUCUUUUAAAUCUUGUAAUUUGAUUGGUUAUCAUUAAAUCCAAUAAGAUGAUAUAAUAGAGCUAUAUUCACUCUCUGGAAGAGAGUUUUUUUCAUGUAAAAGCACAAAGCUUUAACGUGGUGGUUGCUUCAGCUACAUUAAAAUUAAAAAAACAAUGGAUGUUG